UACAGAGGUGGCAAGCGUUGUUCGGAAUUACUGGGCGUAAAGGGCGCGUAGGCGGUUCGUUAAGUCCUGUGUGAAAUCCCCGGCUCAACUGGGGAACUGCACAGGAAACUAGCGGGCUUGAGUUCGGGAGAGGGAAGCGGAAUUCCGGGUGUAGCGGUGAAAUGCGUAGAUAUCCGGAGGAACACCGGUGGCGAAGGCGGCUCUCUGGGA
rnacentral:rRNA from 1 species